rnacentral:misc_RNA from 1 species
AAGAGUCGGCAUUAACAUGUGAAUAUUCACUUCAAAUUUUUAAGUUCCUAUUUGUCAUUAUGGACGCAAAUUCCACUAUAUUUGUACAUUCCGGGACGGAGAAAAUAGAGCACUCAAUUCAAGGUUCAACUGGUUGCCUUUGAGGCAGUGUCACAGCUUGUACAAAGUAAGCGAUUUUUAUCUCUCUUUCAGCUCACUGAGCUACCAUGGAUUAAAACACUAAGCUAUUAACAGAUAUGAAUGUAGACAUGGAUUACUUAAGCUAGUCUGUUGUUCAAUACAUUGAACUGAUUCUCUAAACACGUACAAUACAUAUCCAUCAUGUUGCUGGGAUCUGUGCAAAUGUGUGGAGAGACUUUGUCAUCUAUUGAAGUUAGAGACAUUUGUGAGUCUUUGGAGACACACUCCAUCCGACUUUUGUCAUUGAGGGAAUGUUUUAUGAACGAUAGAGACUUCCAAUGCUUGACGAUAAGUGUCGGCAAAUGCAAAUCCAUAAUGCAGUUGAAUCUGAACCUUGGCUUGGUGUCUGCUGUGACUAGGGUAGAAAUGUUGGCACAGGCAUUGAUGAAAAAUAGGACAUUGACCUCUCUGUUUAUUCAUGGGUCUCCUGUAAGUGACUAUGGGAUGGUUAUGCUUUCCCAGGCCCUGGCUGCUCAUCCUAAUAUUGUCAACCUGGAUGUAGGGGACUGCAUCCUGGGGGACAGGGGCCUUGAGGCAGUUGCACAAUUAUUACCCCCUGAUGGGGCAAAACCAGGUUUACAAGAGUUAACAUUAAGUGCAAAUCCAGCUAUCACCUCUAUGGGUUGGGUUAAGUUUGGUAUCGCCUUGGCAGCUAGUAGCAACUUGAAAGUGCUCAACUUAGACUACAACCGUGUUGGGGACAAUGGCAUAGCAUGUCUUACUGUUGCUUUGGCCAGCUUAAGAGGCUUAGAAGUCUUAGAUUUAGAAGGGACUGGCAUGACUGACCAAGGAGCAAAGAUGUUGUUACAUCUACUCGAGAACUAUCCAACUGAUAUCAAUUGCAUCAUACUUGAUGAAAAUGACAUUGAUCCUAAACUACUGGGAGAAAUAAAGCACAGUUUGUCAUUGGAGGAGACUGACGAGAAUUCUUCUGAGAAGGAGAUUUUAGCCUCUGAUAGUGAAAUAAGCAAAAUGUCAAAUGAAAUUGCACAAACUUCUUUGACAAAUGUAACUGAAAUAUCAUCAGAAGCUACAUCAAGUACGACCUUGAAACCUCAUGACCUUGACACUAUGGGUAAUGACCUUGCGAAAAGUACAAGUUUGACUCCAAGAGAACUUGCCAGAUUCAUAAGAUCUCCUGAAGCAGGAGCUUCAAAUUAACAUAAUUGAUUAGAAAUAUAGAACUAGAGAGUGUAACACAGUCUUUGUGCCAGAUUAUAAGUAACCCAUAUAUAUGUGGAGCCUUGGAGAAUAUUAUGAUGGAUAAAAUUCAUAGGGAAUUGAUAAUUUUAUGAUUUUUUCAAUUAUACUCUUAUUAUCACUGUGAUUAUGACAUAUAUAAUUUGGGUUUCCAUUGGUUCUAUGCAUAUCAAUUAUCUAUUUU